rnacentral:rRNA from 1 species
GACGAACGCUGGCGGCGUGCUUAACACAUGCAAGUCGAACGGAAAGGCCCUGCUUUUGUGGGGUGCUCGAGUGGCGAACGGGUGAGUAACACGUGAGUAACCUGCCCUUGACUUUGGGAUAACUUCAGGAAACUGGGGCUAAUACCUGAUAGGAGCUCCUGCUUCAUGGUGGGGGUUGGAAAGUUUCGGCGGUUGGGGAUGGACUCGCGGCUUAUCAGCUUGUUGGUGGGGUAGUGGCUUACCAAGGCUUUGACGGGUAGCCGGCCUGAGAGGGUGACCGGCCACAUUGGGACUGAGAUACGGCCCAGACUCCUACGGCAGGCAGCAGUGGGGAAUAUUGCACAAUGGGCGGAAGCCUGAUGCAGCAACGCCGCGUGCGGGAUGACGGCCUUCGGGUUGUAAACCGCUUUCGCCUGUGACGAAGCGUGAGUGACGGUAAUGGGUAAAGAAGCACCGGCUAACUACGUG